rnacentral:rRNA from 1 species
AGCGGUGGAGCAUGUGGUUUAAUUNGAAGCAACGCGAAGANCCUUACCAAAUCUUGACAUCNUNUGACACCUCUAGAGAUAGAGUUUUCCCCUUCGGGGGGACAGAGUGACAGGUGGUGCAUGGUUGUCGUCAGCUCGUGUCGUGAGAUGUUGGGUUAAGUCCCGCAACGAGCGCAACCCUUAAGCUUAGUUGCCAUCAUUAAGUUGGGCACUCUAAGUUGACUGCCGGUGACAAACCGGAGGAAGGUGGGGAUGACGUCAAAUCAUCAUGCCCCUUAUGAUUUGGGCUACACACGUGCUACAAUGGACAAUACAAAGGGCAGCGAAAUCGCGAGGUCAAGCAAAUCCCAUAAAGUUGUUCUCAGUUCGGAUUGUAGUCUGCAACUCGACUAUAUGAAGCUGGAAUCGCUAGUAAUCGUAGAUCAGCAUGCUACGGUGAAUACGUUCCCGGGUCUUGUACACACCGCCCGUCACACCACGAGAGUUUGUAACACCCGAAGC